ACAUAGAAUUUGGUAACUUGCCAACUUGCUGUGUUCAUAUUUGUAUUUUGAUAUUAUGAAAUUAUGAGGAAAUGAGAAGUCUGCUGUUUGUAAGGCUACUUAAGCGAUCUGAAUUCAUCCCCUGAAACAUUGGCUUGCUUAUUUUUUCAUACAUUAUAAUUUUACUGGUUCUACCACAAUCAAUGAAGCAUCUUUCUUAUAAUUAUAACACUAAUUGUGUCUUUGUUUUUACAUAAAUAUAUCUGGUAAAUAUAUUUUAUACUUAUGAAAUUAAAAUGAAAGCAGUCAGGCCAGGUGGUGAUGGCGCACACCUUUAAUCCUAGCACUUGGGAGGCAGAGGCAGGCGGGUUUCUGAGUUCAAGGCCAGCCUGGUCUACAAAGUGAGUUCCAGGUAAGCCAGGGCUAUACAGAGAAACCCUGUCUCAAAAAAAAAAAAAAAAAAAAAAAAGCAGUCAGAACACUUUCAUGCAUCACAGUUAUUUUUAUUUUCUCCAUCAUUUUUUACAAGUGUAAAGCAACUUAGAAUUUAAAAAAAUACUGGAAGUCAUUAUUACUUUAAUAGUUGGAUCUUUGGAUCUGUGGAGUGUAGUGUGAGUAUCCUGUACUUUAUGGCUAACACCCACUUCUAAGUGAGUUCAUAUCAUGUGUGUCCUUUUGGGUCAUUGUCACCCCACUCAGGAUGAUAUUCUCAAAUUCUAUUCAUUUGCCUGCAAAAUUCAUGAUGUGUUGUUUUUAAUAGUUGAAUAGUAUUUCAUUGUGUAGAUGUCCACAUUUUCUUCACCCAUUAGUCUAGGUUGUUUCAAGUUUCUGGCUAUUGCGAAUAAAGCUGCUAUGAACAUAGUUGAGUAAGAGUCUUUGUGGGAUGGUGGCACAUCUUUUGGGUAUAUGCCCAGGACUCGUAUAGCUAGGGCAGUGAGCAAGAUGUAAAGUGAGUAAGU
rnacentral:lncRNA from 1 species